ensembl:lncRNA
CGAGGAGUGAUAAUGCUGCUGAUGAUGAAGAUCAUAAGGGGAGACUCAGCUUCCAAUACAGUGUCUGUCGGUAGGAUUAGCAGCCAUGAAGUCUCUCUAGGCCUCAUUAGAAGCAGUGGUAGCCAGUUAGGCUGGCUCCCACUUUAAAUACUUGGCUGCAGCCCUCAAUAACAGUACAGAAUAUUCACCGCUCUCCUUCCCAAAAACCAGCUCUUCUCAAAAUUGCAAUGAGAAAGAGAGAGAGAGAGAGAGAGAGAGAGAGAGAGAGAGAGAGAGAGAGAGAGAGAGAGAGAGAGAGAGAAGAAUCCAAAGGAAAUGAACGGGGAGAGACGAGGAGUAAGAGAAAAGGGUGAAAGACAGGAAGGAACCGAAACUACCAGUUUUGGGCAAAGGAAAAGCAGGGGGUAACAAAAAAGUAGCGACAGAAGCGGUGGAGGAAACAAGACAGAGUCAAAGAGGGAUGGAGAGAAAGGAAGAAAACACAUUAAAGGAGCAAGAGAGAGGGAGAUGGGCCGGAUGAAGCGUCAGAGCACGGCGUUGGGGGGGGCUCAUUAGUAGCGCUGCGCGGGGUUUCCAACACAUGAAGUGGCCUCUGAGCUCAGACAGACACACACACACACACACACACACACACACACACACACACACACACACACACAAACAAGGACAUGAGACAGACCGCAGGUGAGGGAGCAGAAGGUGGUUAUAUAAACAGACAGGCAGGUAAAAUGGAGGUUGUGUGUGUGUGUGUGUGUGUGUGUGUGUGUGUGUGUGUGUGUGUGUGUGUGUGUGUGUGUGUGUGUGUGUGUGUGUGUGUGUGGGGGGGGGGAUUACAGGAGUAGAAAGGUGAGAGGGUGGGAGGCCGGUGGAAGGCCGAGGGGGGCGAUAUAGGAGAAGAUGGAGGAUAAAGUUUGGAUGUAACAGGAGACGGAGGAGGAGACAAUGUCGGCAGCUGAAAGGUCAGGCAAGAGGAGUCUGUGAAGAUGGUGGGCUGGAGAGGAGAGGAGACAGGAGGGGAGGAGAGGAGACAGGAGAGGAGAGGAGACAGGAGGUGAGGAGGAGACAGGAGACAGGAGGAGAGGAGAGGAGACAGGAGGGGAGGAGAGGAGACAGGAGGGAGAGGAGAGGAGACAGGAGGAGAGGAGAGGAGACAGGAGGGAGAGGAGAGGAGACAGGAGGAGAGGACAGGAGACAGGAGGGAGAGGAGACAGGAGACAGGAGGAGAGGAGACAGGAGGGAGAGGAGAGGAGACAGGAGGAGAGGA